CCGCAUAUGCGCCUUGUCGCUGCCACCUUCGGGUGGGGGAGGAAAGUCCGAGCAACGAAGAGCGCCACGCAAGUUAACGGCUUGAUGUUCGUGAGGGCAUAGUAGUGUAACAGAGAACGACCGCCACACCUUCGGGUGAGGUAAGGGUGAAAAGGUGGGGUAAGAGCCCACCGCGAGGGUAGCAAUACGCCUCGGUCAGUACGCCUCGUGGGUUGCAAGACCAUGUAUACCGACAAUUAAGGGUUGCUCGCCCAAUGUCGGGGGGUAGGUUGCUAGAGGCGGCAAGUGAUUGUCGUCGUAGAUAAAUGACAAGGGACCAACGCUUGUUGGUUACAGAACUCGGCUUAUAGCGUAUGCCACUAA
rnacentral:RNase_P_RNA from 1 species